UUCACUUUAGAAUGUCACAGCACAUCAUGGCACAACAGGGUCACAUGAUUCCAGUGCCAGCAGGUCUGGACAUGACACCACAACACAGUGUCAUCAUCAUGCAGCAAGUUGAAUUUUUUGAAGUGCAAAUUCAAGCGCCACCGCAGCAACCCACAUGUCUUAAUUGUGGCCAUCCCCUGCGGCACACCAAGGAGGUGUACCACAGUGGAGUGUGUACCUGGAUGCUCUGUCUACUCUGCAUUCUAAUGGGGUUGGUGCUGGGCUGUUGUCUCAUUCCCUUCUGCAUAGACAGCUGUAAAGAUGUUCACCAUUCAUGUCAACACUGUGAUGAAGUUCUGCUGAAACAGAAGAAAGGCUGCUGCUAGUUCACCAUUCAUGCCCCCCCCUCUCUCUACCACCACGAAAUGCUAUUUAUUCUUUUGUCACACUGUUUUAUUUGACUGUUUUAUGUGUUUUAUAGGCCUAUUUGAAGACAGUUAACAUUGUUGUCACAUUAUGUAAUACGUAGUUACAAAUAGGCCUACAGUAUUGUCAUUGGCCUUUAUUGGGCUGUGUAAAAAUAUGGAGAUGUUUAGUCCAAACAACCUAUAGGCCUACAUUCUUUUUCAACCAUAUUCAGUUUUUAUUGUACUUAAGUUAACAGUUGUAUGAUCACUGUUUUGUUGUUAUCCCAAUUAACCGAACAGCUCUGCUACCCAAGUUGUAAAAUCAAAUAAAAUGUUAAUGAAUGCUGCAAGUAACCUGCCUUCAGAGCAUUUGGGGGAAAAUGGAUCACCAUACAAGUACAAUUUCAAACUAGUACACAACAGUAUGAAUGAAUGACUGUGAAUAUCAUAAGACAUUUAUAUUUGUUGUUCUGUCAUAAUCAAUUCACUCAAUGAUUCAAGGAUUCAAGGAGUUUAUUGUCAUUGUCAAUGAAGUCAACGAAAUUGUGCAGCAACAACACUGCGUAGUUUGAAGUAGGCCUAUAGAAGUAAUCAAAAAGAAGUAGUCAAAUAAAGUCUAAAUACAUGAAGUAUAUCAUGAAGUAUAAUAAAUUAAAGUAAAUAAUAGUAAUAAUGUAAGUAAUAAUAAAUUAAUCAAGUAAAUCAAACAGUAAAAUAAAAACAGUUAGAUCCUCUCCCCACAAUUCAAGGUUAAUAACCCAGUGCUGUUGAUAUUUUUAAGGUGCACAACACACACACACACACACACACACACACACACACACACACACACACAC